rnacentral:rRNA from 1 species
GGAUGAACGCUGGCGGCGUGCCUAAUACAUGCAAGUCGAGCGAACAGACGAGGAGCUUGCUCCUCUGACGUUAGCGGCGGACGGGUGAGUAACACGUGGAUAACCUACCUAUAAGACUGGGAUAACUUCGGGAAACCGGAGCUAAUACCGGAUAAUAUAUUGAACCGCAUGGUUCAAUAGUGAAAGACGGUUUUGCUGUCACUUAUAGAUGGAUCCGCGCCGCAUUAGCUAGUUGGUAAGGUAACGGCUUACCAAGGCGACGAUGCGUAGCCGACCUGAGAGGGUGAUCGGCCACACUGGAACUGAGACACGGUCCAGACUCCUACGGGAGGCAGCAGUAGGGAAUCUUCCGCAAUGGGCGAAAGCUUGACGGAGCAACGCCGCGUGAGUGAUGAAGGUCUUCGGAUCGUAAAACUCUGUUAUUAGGGAAGAACAAAUGUGUAAGUAACUAUGCACGUCUUGACGGUACCUAAUCAGAAAGCCACGGCUAACUACGUG